GAUGAACGCUGGCGGCGUGCUUAACACAUGCAAGUCGAACGAGAAGUGGAGACGGAAACCUUCUGGCGGAAUACUUUACUUCGAGUGGCGGCGGGGUUAGUAACGCGUGGGUAACCUGCCUCAUACAGGGGGAUAACAGUUGGAAACGACUGUAAAUACCGCAUAAGACCACGGCACCGCAUGGUUCGGGGGUAAAAACUGCGGUGGUAUGAGAUGGACCCGCGUUAGCUUAGCCAGGUGGCAGGGUAACGGCCCACCAAAGCGACGAUGGAGAGCCGAUAUGAGAGGCGGACCGACGAGAUCGGGAAUGCGACACGGACCCCAAUCCUACGGGAGGGAGCAGAGGGGAAUACUGCGCGAUGAGGGCAGAUGUGACGAAGCGACGCCGGGUGAGUGAAGAAGUGUUUCGGUAUGUAAAGCUCUAUGAGAAGGGAAGAAAAUGACAGUAACUGAGUAAGAAGCCCCGGCUAACUACGUG
rnacentral:rRNA from 1 species